rnacentral:rRNA from 1 species
AGGGCACAUGGUGGAUGCCUUGGCACCAGGAGCCGAUGAAGGACGUGGGAGCCUGCGAUAAUCCCUGGCGAGCUGGCAACCGAGCUAUGACCCGGGGGUGUCCGAAUGGGGAAACCCGGCGGCAGUCAUGUGCCGUCACCGUCACCUGAACACAUAGGGUGGUCGGAGGGAACGUGGGGAAGUGAAACAUCUCAGUACCCACAGGAAGAGAAAACAACAUGUGAUUCCGUGAGUAGUGGCGAGCGAAAGCGGAUGAGGCUAAACCGUGCGCGUGUGAUAGCCGGCAGGCGUUGCGUGUGCGGGGUUGUGGGGUUAUGUCGACCGUGGGCUGCCGCCCGUGGUCUGGAGUGAUCAAUCACUGGUGAAGUCGAAGGACUUGAGAGGUCCGGCGUAGAGGGUGUUACCCCCGUAGACGUAAGCGAGUGACUCCAGUGGCGUGAUACCCGAGUAGCACGGGGCCCGAGAAAUCCCGUGUGAAUCUGGCGGGACCACCCGUUAAGCCUAAAUACUCCCUGGUGACCGAUAGCGGACAAGUACCGUGAGGGAAUGGUGAAAAGUACCCCGGGAGGGGAGUGAAAUAGUACCUGAAACCAUGUGCCUACAAGCCGUCAGAGCUGCCCUUCGGGGUUGUGAUGGCGUGCCUUUUGAAGAAUGAGCCUGCGAGUUAGUGGUAUGUGGCGAGGUUAACCCGUGUGGGGGAGCCGUAGCGAAAGCGAGUCCGAAUAGGGCGCUUUUAGUCGCAUGCUCUAGACCCGAAGCGGAGUGAUCUACCCAUGGGCAGGGUGAAGCGGAGGUAAGACUUCGUGGAGGCCCGAACCGACCUACGUUGAAAAGUGGGCGGAUGACCUGUGGGUAGGGGUGAAAGGCCAAUCAAACUCCGUGAUAGCUGGUUCUCCCCGAAAUGCAUUUAGGUGCAGCGUCGCGUGUUUCUUGCCGGAGGUAGAGCACUGGAUGGCUGAUGGGCCCUACAAGGUUACUGACGUCAGCCAAACUCCGAAUGCCGGUAAGUGAGAGCGCGGCAGUGAGACUGCGGGCGAUAAGGUUCGUAGUCGAGAGGGAAACAGCCCAGAUCACCAGCUAAGGCCCCUAAGCGUGUGCUAAGUGGAAAAGGAUGUGGAGUUGCGAAGACAACCAGGAGGUUGGCUUAGAAGCAGCCACCCUUGAAAGAGUGCGUAAUAGCUCACUGGUCAAGUGAUUCUGCGCCGACAAUGUAGCGGGGCUCAAGCACACCGCCGAAGCUGUGACAAUCACACAAUAACCCAGCAUCUCCUUCGGGGGGUGUUCAGGUGUGUGGUUGGGUAGGGGAGCGUCGUGUGGCGGUUGAAGCGGCGGGGUGACCCAGCCGUGGACGCUACACGAGUGAGAAUGCAGGCAUGAGUAGCGAAAGACGGGUGAGAAACCCGUCCGCCGAAUGACCAAGGGUUCCAGGGCCAGGUUAAUCCGCCCUGGGUAAGUCGGGACCUAAGGCGAGGCCGACAGGCGUAGUCGAUGGACAACGGGUUGAUAUUCCCGUACCGGUUGUGGCGCGACCAUGCUGAGCCCGGUGAUGCUAACCAUCCGAACCCGUCUUGAUUCCUUCGGGAGUCCUGGUGGGGGAGCGUGGGAUCCGAACCGGUAGUAGGCAAGCGAUGGGGUGACGCAGGAAGGUAGCCCAUCCCGGGCGAUGGUUGUCCCGGGGUAACAGUGCAGGGCCGUGGUAGGUAAAUCCGCCACAGUAGCGCCCGAGGCUGGAUGCCGAGCCGAUUGCGGCGAAGUGGGUGAUCCUAUGCUGUCGAGAAAAGCCUCUAGCGAGUUCCAUAGCCGCCCGUACCCCAAACCGACACAGGUGGUCAGGUAGAGAAUACCAAGGCGAUCGAGUGAACCGUGGUUAAGGAACUCGGCAAAAUGCCCCCGUAACUUCGGGAGAAGGGGGGCCGGAUACGUGAACGGACUUGCUCCGGGAGCGUUGAAGGCCGCAGAGACCAGGGGAAAGCGACUGUUUAUUAAAAACACAGGUCCGUGCGAAGUCGCAAGACGAUGUAUACGGACUGACGCCUGCCCGGUGCUGGAACGUUAAGGGGACGAGUUAGCUCUUCGGGGCGAAGCUCAGAACUUAAGCGCCAGUAAACGGCGGUGGUAACUAUAACCAUCCUAAGGUAGCGAAAUUCCUUGUCGGGUAAGUUCCGACCUGCACGAAUGGCGUAACGACUUUCCCACUGUCUCAACCACGGACUCGGCGAAAUUGCACUACGAGUAAAGAUGCUCGUUACCCGCAGCAGGACGGAAAGACCCCGGGACCUUUACUAUAGCUUGGUAUUGGUGUUCGGUUCGGCUUGUGUAGGAUAGG